rnacentral:rRNA from 1 species
UACAGAGGUCUCAAGCGUUGUUCGGAUUCAUUGGGCGUAAAGGGUGCGUAGGUGGCGAGGCAAGUCAGAUGUGAAAUCCCGGGGCUCAACCCCGGAACUGCAUUUGAAACUGCCUUGCUCGAGUACUGGAGAGGAGACUGGAAUUUACGGUGUAGCAGCGAAAUGCGUAGAUAUCGUAAGGAAGACCAGUGGCGAAGGCGAGUCUCUGGACAGUUACUGACACUGAGGCACGAAGGCCAGGGGAGCAAACGGG